CCUACGGGUGACAGCAGUGAGGAAUAUUGGUCAAUGGGCUUACGCCUGAACCAGCCAAGUCGCGUGAGGGAAGACUGCCCUAUGGGUUGUAAACCUCUUUUGUCAGGGAGUAAUUGGCGCCACGUGUAGCGUUAUGGAGAGUAUCUGUAGAAAAAGCACCGCCUACUUCCGUACCAGCAGCCGCGGUAAUACGGGGGACGCGAGGGUUAUCCGGAUUUUUGGGGUUAAAGGGGGGCGUAGGGGGAAUGCCAAGUAAGCGGUAAAAUCGCGGGGCUCAACCUCGCACCGCCGUUGAAACUGGCAUUCUUGAGUGGGCGUGAGGUAGGCGGAAUGCGUGGUGUAGCGGUGAAAUGCAUAGAUAUCACGCAGAACUCCGAUUGCGAAGGCAGCAUACCAGCGCCCAACUGACGCUGAAGCACGAAAGCGUGGGUAUCGAACAGGAUUAGAUACCCGAGUAGUC
rnacentral:rRNA from 1 species